rnacentral:lncRNA from 1 species
AGGGGGUACUAGUAUAAAGUGGAAUGGGGUUUAGGUUAAAAAUGAAAAUCAAUCUUGCCCCCUUUUAACAUAAACCCUAGCUAGUUCCUCAGGGAAGGGCCAUGGAACAUAUGCUGGUGCUAGCCACUGAUCGGAAUCAACAAUCAACGCAAACAUUCAUAAAUCUCCGCAUAUGUAAGAAAAACUCUCAUUAAUGCACAUAUUCGAGAUGAAGGAUCGAGCCUUUGGUUGGGACCGAGCUUCACAAUUUGGAACUCAAGUUAUGCCCAUUUACGAAUUCCGAGCUGAGGGAUCGAGCCUUAGGUAUAAUUGAGCUUCACUAUGCGAUUUGGACCUCCAACUUAGGCCUAUUUUUGAGCUCAGGGAUAGAGCCUCAGGUAGAACCGAGCUUUUCUUGGCGAUUUGAAAUUGGUGCUUGUCGGGAAAGCUUUUUAAUGAUUCAUUCUUAACAAUACGUACUCGAUUAUCCAUAAUUCUCCAUUGCAUAUGUUUGUUUCUAAAUAACCAGUUUGUUUUAUUGUGGCAAAGCAAAGAUAUGUUUUAUUUACUCUUUUGAUAUAGGAGUAGUUGAACCAAACCAACACUUUUCCCAAACAUAUGUUAGAAGAAAUAAUAUAUUGGUUAUUUGUAAAGGUUAUACCCUGUAGCAAAACAUGAACAUAAAGGUUGAUUUUUGGCUUUUUGCCGAUUUCACAGUGAAAGGUACGAAGUGUAGUUUGGGUAUAAGAUAAAGGUUGAUUUAUGCAAUUUACUUUAAUUAAUAAUAAUUUGCA